AGAUCCCCUUAUCCAGGCCGCCUUUGGAAACCAGCCCACCUGCUACACAACCUUUUCCCAACACCGUGCUCCCACCCCUACCUCCGCUGCUGAAAAACCGCAUUGUGUGGGGGUCUGGAAUCUUCUGGACUCCUGGGAGCCCAAUCCGCUUGCCUCUUGUACCCCUCUUGCAGAGCAAUGAGCCGAUGGGGUGCCAGGCAUUAGAAACCUUCCCUCCAAUCCUCACCAUGUCUCCAUUUUGCCAAAGAAGAAACUGAGGUUAAGGUCGCGAUGCUCUGGCCAGCAUCACAGGUAAACGAUUUUGGCAGUGCCCGGAGAAGGAUAGAAGUAAGACCCAAAGAGGAACUUUCCGCAUGUUAUGGGAGAGCCCGUGGGGCGAGGAGGCGAGGGCAGCCUUCCCCAGGCCAAGGGAGCAGCCAUCGCUCUUGGAUCUGUUUUUCCUCAAGCGUCUGUCCUGUGGGGCCUAGUCCCCAGCCGCUGUCCUGGACCUAAUGGGAGAAGGGGCUGGGGGAAGAGAGCGCACCCCCAGCCCGGGACCCACGGCAGCCCUAGCCAGUCCCCCACUCUCUCCCUCUUUAGGGGCCUCUCUCUGAGAUCGGGUCCUUCUCCUGCAGGGCAGCAGAGUGGAAGCCAGGGCCUGGGACCCUCUGGUUGGGCAAGGAGGGACUGGAGUCCGGCUCCCGGCGACCCCGUCCCCAGUGCCAGCGGCGGGGUCGCCCGUGGCGGCCCGGACAGGCC
rnacentral:antisense_RNA from 1 species